UUGAAAAUCUCAGAGAGGAGAACAGAAAACCAUAUAGUGACAGGAAAAUGCUUUGUUCAUCUGAUGCCACAUAAAGGCCUCCAGAGGUCAGUGAAUUCCAUGCUGAACAUCCAUUUUUGGCCGCUCCGCCGGCCCCAGGCCUUCGCUCCAGUCCCCUGUGUUGGCAAGUCUGCCGAGCAUCCGUGCGAGGUCCCGGGAUCAGCUGGGGGGUAAAAAGAGAGACAUUUCUCCAGUCCCAGGCCUUUGUGGAAGCCGACACCCUCUGUCCAGGGACUCGGUACCUUUUCCUGGCCAAGUCCUGGCCCCCCAAGGAGCAGGUGGAAGAUCAAGAUGUUGUCUACCGCCAGCGGCGUGUGACCCUCCCCCUGUGUGGUUGGUGCCUCAAGGUCAUACCUCUUGCGGCUUUCAGCCUAGACGAGUGGUCGUUGGUGUGGUUAGGCUUUUGGGUUUGUGCGUUGCCCAGAGGUGUCUCUCCUGUCACUGUCUGUGGAC